UGGAAUUCUACAUAGAUAAAAUAAAACUAAAAUGAGAUAAUUUCUAUGAUUAAUUAAAAAAUUAUUAUAACUCGUAUUAAUAGAUUAUAUGAUUAUUAAAAAUUGAUUACAAUAUUAAAAAAUAAAAUGGUGUAGUGAAUUGCAUCUUAUAAAAGCCUCGGAAUCUCAUCCUGAUAGCAUCAUUCACCGUCAUCCUCUUGUUGUCAGGCGGUCUCAUCCUCAUGAGAGAGUUUCAAAUUUUAAUUUUGCUAUUGCUUGGCUGGAGAGGGAUAAAAAGUCUCUGAUAGCAGUCAUAGCUAGGAAUUAUCGAGCGAAAGUGAUUGAUGUAUUCCAUGAAAUUGGUAAACAAGCUUCUCGCUCUUCUCCUCUAUCAGGUGAAGCUUUGAGAAUCCUGAAAUCUCUGAUUUGAUUUGCCAUUUUUCGAAUAACUCGGACAUUGUCAUAUCCGCCACUUUCAGAUGCAAGGAAGAGCGUCUUCUGGGAAAUCAAAGCAUGUAUAGUAUAGACGCCAUUGAAGGUUUAGCUGAAGCCUUUUAUUCUUUUAUCGGUCACUACUGCCAUUCAAGAGAUCUGAUAACAAGCCAGCUGAUUGCUUAGCAAAAUUGAGUUUACACCAAAUUAUUUCGAGUAAUUGGUUUUUUGGUAAGCCUCUUGAGCUAUUGUCUACAUUAUCUCUAUGUUUUUUUUUUUUUCACAAAACGAAUUGAUGUGCUUAAAAGUCUAAUUAAUGCCGGCUAAAGCUUUGUCUAUCGGUCUCUCCUCCUGUUCGAAGCAAGUCCAUAAUGGUGGCCAGGUACGGCUAAAACGACAAAACUGCUUACGUAUUGCAUAGACAGUGGACCCACUUUUCAUGUAGCCCCAUCGACCCCUUGUACCAAAAUCAUUGCACUACCUUUGCUCGUAGUCGUAGAUAUUGCGUGCGUCCACGCAUCAUUUUUUAAUUAUAUAUUAAACUAAUUAAAAAUAAAGAAAAAUAAUAUGAAUAUUCACUUUAUUUUUAAGAAACUUACGAUUAUGUCUCUAAUUUUUUAAAAAAAUAUCACUAUUUUCAAAUUAAUCGAUUGAAAUAUUUAUAUAUUUUAUAUAUUUUAAAAUUUAUUGACCUAAUAAUAAAAAAGCUUAAAAAGUGAUAAAAUAGAUGUUAAGAAAUUAAAACUUAUUUUAUCACAUCCAUUUAUCCCC
rnacentral:lncRNA from 1 species